UCUCCCAGACAUGAUGGUUCUACAUUUUACUCAGUAAAAUGAAGAUAGGUGUUUCGUUAUCUUGCAAAUCGUUCUCAUCAUUGAUGAAAUGUCACACAAAUAGAUCAGAUCUGUUUUUAAUCAG